rnacentral:rRNA from 1 species
AUUGAACGCUGGCGGCAGGCCUAACACAUGCAAGUCGAACGAGUGGCGGACGGGUGAGUAAUGUCUGGGAAACUGCCUGAUGGAGGGGGCUAACUACUGGAACCGGUAGCUAAUACCGCAUACCAUCGGAUGUGCCCAGAUGGGAUUAGCUAGUAGGUGGGGUAAAGGCUCACCAAGGCAACGAUCCCUAGCUGGUCUGCGAGGGUGACCAGCCACACUGGAACUGAGACAAGGUCCAGACUCCUACGGGAGGAAGCAGUGGGGAAGAUUGGACAAUGGGCGCAAGCCUGAUGCAGCCAUGCCGCGUGUAUGAAGAAGGCCUUCGGGUUGUAAAGUACUGUCAGCGGGGAGGCGUUACCCGCAGAAGAAGCACCGGCUAACUCCGUGCCAGCAGCCGCGGUAAUAC